rnacentral:rRNA from 1 species
AGUGAACGCUGGCGGUAGGCCUAACACAUGCAAGUCGAACGGCAGCACAGUAAGAGCUUGCUCUUACGGGUGGCGAGUGGCGGACGGGUGAGGAGUACAUCGGAAUCUACUUUUUCGUGGGGGAUAACGUAGGGAAACUUACGCUAAUACCGCAUACGACCUACGGGUGAAAGCAGGGGAUCUUCGGACCAUGCGCGUUUGAAUGAGCCGAUGUCGGAUUAGCUAGUUGGCGGGGGAAAGGCCCACCAAGGCUUUGAUCCGUAGCUGGCCUGAGAGGGUGACCGGCCACAUUGGGACUGCGGGACGGCCCAGACUCCUACGGGAGGCAGCAGUGGGGAAUAUUGCACAAUGGGCGGAAGCCUGAUGCAGCAACGCCGCGGGCGGGAUGACGGCCUUCGGGUUGUAAACCGCUUUCGCCGGUGACGAAGCGUGAGUGACGGUAAUGGGUAAAGAAGCACCGGCUAACUACGUG